CCUACGGGAGGCAGCAGUGGGGAAUAUUGGACAAUGGGCGCAAGCCUGAUCCAGCCAUGCCGCGUGAGUGAUGAAGGUCUUAGGAUUGUAAAGCUCUUUCACCGGAGAAGAUAAUGACGGUAUCCGGAGAAGAAGCCCCGGCUAACUUCGUGCCAGCAGCCGCGGUAAUACGAAGGGGGCUAGCGUUGUUCGGAAUUACUGGGCGUAAAGCGCACGUAGGCGGAUAUUUAAGUCAGGGGUGAAAUCCCAGGGCUCAACUCUGGAACUGCCUUUGAUACUGGGUAUCUAGAGUAUGGAAGAGGUGAGUGGAAUUCCGAGUGUAGAGGUGAAAUUCGUAGAUAUUCGGAGGAACACCAGUGGCGAAGGCGGCUCACUGGUCCAUUACUGACGCUGAGGUGCGAAAGCGUGGGGAGCAAACAGGAUUAGAUACCCCUGUAGUC
rnacentral:rRNA from 1 species